rnacentral:lncRNA from 1 species
UGGUGAUUGGUUCUUUUGAUUUUGACUCUUCCAUUUGGCAUUAUCCUCUUGGUUGAGAUGAUUGCUGAUGUGGUGUUGAGGUGGCGUCUGGUUGAGAUGAUUGCUGAUGUGGUGUUGAGGUGGCGUCCCAAUAGGUGUCACAUAGCAUGUUGCAUAGUGAUUGGUUCUUCUGAUGAGGUGGCAUGACGUUGCAUUGGUUCCUUUAUUGAGAUGAUGUGGUCGGCUCCUUAUGCUUAACUUCAUCCUGGUUGGCGUGCUUCCAUUGGUUGGAGUGGUGGUGAGGUGGCCAGCUGAUGUUGAUGUGGAUGCCGAGGUGGUGCUCAAAGGGUGUGCAAAGUUGG